rnacentral:rRNA from 1 species
AACGAACGCUGGCGGCAUGCCUAACACAUGCAAGUCGAACGAGACCUUCGGGUCUAGUGGCGCACGGGUGCGUAACGCGUGGGAACCUGCCCUUAGGUUCGGAAUAACUCCCCGAAAGGGGUGCUAAUACCGGAUAAUGUCUUCGGACCAAAGAUUUAUCGCCUUUGGAUGGGCCCGCGUUGGAUUAGCUGGUUGGUAGGGUAAAAGCAUACCAAGGCGACGAUCCAUAGCUGGUCUGAGAGGAUGAUCAGCCACACUGGGACUGAGACACGGCCCAGACUCCUACGGGAGGCAGCAGUGGAGAGUAUUGGAGAAUGGGCGAAGGCCUGAUACAGCCAUGCCGCGUGAGAGAUGAAGGCCGUAGGGUUGUAAAGCUCUUUUAGCCGGGAUGAUAAUGACGGUACCGGGAGAAUAAGCUCCGGCUAACUCCGUG